CCUACGGGGGGCAGCAGUGGGGAAUAUUGCACAAUGGGGGAAACCCUGAUGCAGCGACGCCGCGUGAGUGAAGAAGUAUUUCGGUAUGUAAAGCUCUAUCAGCAGGGAAGAAAUAGCGACCUUUGGGUCGCCAGACGGUACCUGACUAAGAAGCCCCGGCUAACUACGUGCCAGCAGCCGCGGUAAUACGUAGGGGGCAGGCGUUAUCCGGAUUUACUGGGUGUAAAGGGAGCGUAGACGGCAGCACAAGUCUGAAGUGAAAUGCCGGGGCUUAACCCCGGAACUGCGUUGGAAACUGUGCAGCUAGAGUGGAGGAGAGGUAAGUGGAAGUCCUGGUGUAGCGGUGAAAUGCGUAGAUAGUGGGAGGAACACCGGUGGCGAAGGCGGCUUGAUGGACUGUAACUGACGUUGAGGCUCGAAAGCGUGGGGAGCAAACAGGAUUAGAUACCCCAGUAGUC
rnacentral:rRNA from 1 species